rnacentral:other from 1 species
CCGUCCCUGCGCUGUGCGUGAUGUCGGGGGAAGGUUUCAACCUCGCUCUCGACCCGGGAGCCGUAACAGAGGGCGGUGAGCAAGCCCCUCCUGAAGGGGAAGCCUAAAGCCCUCCCAUCCACGGCGCCCACCUGGCCAUGCCAGGUUCGAAACACCGUCGGCACACGGCAGAGGUGGGGAUAUC